UACGGGGGGGGGCAAGCGUUGUUCGGAAUUACUGGGCGUAAAGGGCUCGUAGGCGGCCAACUAAGUCAGACGUGAAAUCCCUCGGCUUAACCGGGGGAACUGCGUCUGAUACUGGAUGGCUUGAGUUUGGGAGAGGGAUGCGGAAUUCCAGGUGUAGCGGUGAAAUGCGUAGAUAUCUGGAGGAACACCGGUGGCGAAGGCGGCAUCCUGGACCAACACUGACGCUGAGUGAGCGAAAGCCAGGGGAGCAAAGCGGG
rnacentral:rRNA from 1 species